GGUUUGAUCCUGGCUCAGGAUGAACGCUGGCGACGUGGAUAAGGCAUGCAAGUUGAAUGGGUUUAGACCCAUGGCAGACGAGGUAGUAACGCGUAGGAACUUGCCUUCUAGUCGAGGAUAACCCAUCGAAAGAUGGAAUAAUACUCGAUAGUCCCUUCGGGGUAAAGAUUUAUUGCUAGAAGAGAGGCCUGCGUAGUAUCAGCUAGUUGGUGGUGUAAUGGACCACCAAGGCUAUGACGCUUAGGGGGGGUGAGAGCCCGAUCCCCACCGAUGGUACUGAGACACGGACCAUACACCUACGGGUGGCCGCAGUCGAGAAUCUUCCGCAAUGGACGAAAGUCUGACGGAGCGACGUCGCGUGAUUGAUGAAGUCUUUCGGGAUGUAAAGAUCUUUUAUAAGGGAGAAAGUUUAUUGAUGUUACCUUAUGAAUAAGGGGUUGCUAAACUCGUGCCAGCAGCAGCGGUAAUACGAGUGCCCCGAGCGUUAUCCGGAAUAAUUGGGUGUAAAGGGUCCGCAGGCGGUUAUAUUAGUCUUUUGUCAAAGCUCCCGGCUUAACCGGGAAAACGCAACAGAAACGGUAUAACUAGAGGAUGUGAGAGGUGUGUAGAACUCAUGGUGUAGGGGUGAAAUCCGUUGAUAUCAUGGGGAAUACCGAAAGCGAAGGCAGCACACUGGCACAUUCCUGACGCUCAUGGACGAAAGCGUGGGUAGCGAAUGGGAUUAGAUACCCCAGUAGUCCACGCCCUAAACGUUCUUCUCUAGCCUUUCGGAGUAUCGACCCUCUGAGAGGCGAAGUAAACGCGUUAAGAGAAGCACCUGGGGAGUACGAGCGCAAGCUUAAAACUCAAAGGAAUAGACGGGGACUCGCACAAGCGGUGGAUCACGUGGCUUAAUUCGAUGAUAAGCGAAGAACCUCACCAGGACUUGAAACCUACACGACGAUUUUAGGAAACUAGAAUCUUCUUCGGACGGGUAGGCAGGUGAUGCAUGGCCGUCGUCAGUUCGUGGCUUGAGUUGUUCCCUUAAGUGGGGAAACGAACGCAACCCUCGUUGCCUGUUACAAGUGUCAGGCGAGACUGCCCCCGGGGAGGAAGGCGGGGAUGACGCCAGGUCAGCAUGUCCCUUUGAUGUCCUGGGCUGCACACAUGAUACAAUGGGUAGGACAAUAGGUCGCGACGGGGUAACCCUGAGCCAAUCCCUAAACCUACCCCCAGUUCGGAUUGAGGGCUGAAACUCGCCCUCAUGAAGUUGGAAUCGCUAGUAAUGGCUGGUCAGAACGCAGCCGUGAAUACGUUCUCGAGUCUUGUACUCACCGCCCGUCAAGUCAAGGGAGCCGGGAGUGCCCGAAGUUCGCACUAGAUGUGACCUAGGGUAAACUUGGUGACAGGGACUAAGUCGUAACAAGGUAGCCG
rnacentral:rRNA from 1 species